UUUGAUUCCUCACUUUACGAUCGACGACAACACUGAAACAAUCCUUGGAAAUCUAAUUGCGCAGGAGCAGUAUAGCAGCAGUCGUGAUACACAAUUUUGGAUCACGUCCUAUGUCUGCUUCCUCACCAAUUUGAUACGAACUGGCAAGGAUGCAGAGUAUUUGUCAAGAAGAGAAUCUUGUCUGAUUGUAUUCCAGUUAGAGGGAAGAAGGGAUUCCAUACUUAGCCAUUUCAACUAUCCACUCCCACAUGGCUCAUUCUGGGGCUAAAGGCAUCUUUAAGGAGUUCAAGUGUACCCCUCUUGAUCUUAUUAACAGCACAAAAUAUAAGCUCAGACAUAGCAGAUGUUGUGGUUGAUAAGACUGCAUUUGCUGGAGAUCUCCAAUCAGUGUCAUGGUCGGCAAUGGCCUCGAGAGGAAUAUGUGGUAGUUUUGCUUGGCGGAUACGCCUUAACCAAGUUACAGAUGGGUAGAAUUUUGCUUCUUUUCUCUGUACUUCCAGCCAUCCAACUUUUAUCGUGUGGCUUGGUCGAAGAAAAUAAUUUAUGAAAUAAAGCACCUCUAGAACUUGCAAACUCUAUAAGCUCCCAUCUUGGUGAUCAAAAUGGUUUGGUUCCCGAAAAGGAUGUUUCCAAGGAGGUGCCAUCAAAUAACAAUUCUAUGAGAAGAAAAAAGAGUCAGAAGAACAACAAAGCAGCAACAGUCAUCACAAUCAAAUCUGGAGCUGUGGAAAAGAAACGUUCCGUUGUCAUGCAGUGGUUCUACUCUCUGAAAGCAGCUUUCUAUAACCUGUACAAGACAUUUAAGCAGCCCGUUAUCGUCAGACUGCACAAAAACCUAGCUGAUUAAUUUUUGAUGAAAGGCUGGCAAACAACUUUUCUUUAUCCGCAAAUUAUAUUAGAUGGGCGCAACUUGGUCUGGCUACCUUGAGCGUUUUUAGACAUUGGUUUGGUGUCUAGAUAUCACAUUGCGCUCUGCAUAUCAGUAAACUUAUGGUCCUUUGUGGGUUCCUCUAGCUGAUGCUAUCAAUCAAAUCAAGGCAGUUAAGCCCGCGUGGAAUUGAAGGUACUCUAUUCGCCCUAUAAACAACCUGGGUACAACAGUAGGAUCGUUUGUAGGUGCUGGUUCAGCAUCUUUGCUGAACGUAUUGUCAGGUUCCUUCGGUAACCUUUUCAUGGGAAUACGUCAUUCAUCUGCACUUGCAUACCCUUCGUGCUCCUGUUUUGAUACCCAAGGAAGCCUCAGGUUUAGCAGCCCAACUACACUAGUACAGGAGGCAUUUGU